rnacentral:rRNA from 1 species
AUGAGAGUGACAACAUCGUUGCUCGAGUCCAAUUAUAGCUCCUUUACUGAAGUCUUUGGAGUAUUUCUUCGAGCAGAGAUUGAUACCACAAAGAAGAUCCAAAAAAAAGAUGUAUCUCGCUAUAAGCGAGCUAUAGACGGGCCCAAGGAGUCAGCGGAAAGCGAGACCCAACGAGACGUCUCUAAUAUCAGCCACGCUGCUCCUGUAAGGCUCUUGGCCCUAUUUAAACACGCACACAUCCCUGCUCCUCACUCCAGAGCAUACACUUCCAACCUUUCCAUCCAGUACUUCUUUUUACAAGGUUCACUUCACCGAGAGCUGCUCAUGAUGGAGGGGGGGAAGAAGAGGUUGGUGGCUGCUUCCGUCUGCGUGCUCGUCAUUCUGCUAUCGGUCCAGCAGCAGUCGGUGGCCGAGGACAUGUCGGGGUUCUGCCGGUGCUACCGCAAGUGCUACACGGCGUGCAGGCUCAAAAGCAACCGGGUGGUCUGCAAGAUUGCCUGCUACUUGGGGUGCACCGGCCAGAACGACCACGACGCCGGAUGCCGGAGGUUCUGUCAUCAGGCCUCGGUCUGCGACACGGCGGCCACCGGCGACGAUGCUAUUACUACCGAAGAAGCUGCGAUCUGUGUGGGGGAGUGCGCCACUUACCGGAGCCGCCGCGGCGGCAAGGCCGAAGCAAAGCACGGCUGA